rnacentral:rRNA from 1 species
AGUGAACGCUGGCGGUAGGCCUAACACACGCAAGUCGAACGGCAGCACAGUAAGAGCUUGCUCUUACGGGUGGCGAGUGGCGGACGGGUGGGGAAUACAUCGGAAUCUACUUUUUCGUGGGGGAUAACGUAGGGAAACUUACGCUAAUACCGCAUACGACCUACGGGUGAAAGCAGGGGAUCUUCGGACCUUGCGCGAUUGAAUGAGCCGAUGUCGGAUUAGCUAGUUGGCGGGGUAAAGGCCCACCAAGGCGACGAUCCGUAGCUGGUCUGAGAGGAUGAUCAGCCACACUGGAACUGAGACACGGUCCAGACUCCUACGGGAGGCAGCAGUGGGGAAUAUUGGACAAUGGGCGCAAGCCUGAUCCAGCCAUACCGCGUGGGUGAAGAAGGCCUUCGGGUUGUAAAGCCCUUUUGUUGGGAAAGAAAAGCAGCAGGUUAAUACCCCGCUGUUCUGACGGUACCCAAAGAAUAAGCACCGGCUAACUUCGU